UACGUAGGGUGCGAGCGUUGUCCGGAAUUACUGGGCGUAAAGAGCUCGUAGGUGGUUUGUCGCGUUGUUCGUGAAAACUCACAGCUCAACUGUGGGCGUGCGGGCGAUACGGGCAGACUGGAGUACUGCAGGGGAGACUGGAAUUCCUGGUGUAGCGGUGGAAUGCGCAGAUAUCGAUCGGAACACCCAUGGCGAAGGCAGCUCGCUGGCCUAAAACUGACGCUGAGGCGCGAAAGCGUGGGGAGCAAACAGG
rnacentral:rRNA from 1 species